rnacentral:rRNA from 1 species
UACGUAGGGACCAAGCGUUGUUCGGAUUUACUGGGCGUAAAGGGCGCGUAGGCGGCAAUUCAAGUCAGCUGUGAAAUCUCCGGGCUUAACUCGGAACGGUCAGCUGAUACUGCUUUGCUAGAGUGCAGAAGGGGCAAUCGGAAUUCUUGGUGUAGCGGUGAAAUGCAUAGAUAUCAAGAGGAACACCUGAGGUGAAGACGGGUUGCUGGGCUGACACUGACGCUGAGGCGCGAAAGCUAGGGUAGCAAACGGG